CCUACGGGUGGCAGCAGUGGGGAAUAUUGCACAAUGGGCGAAAGCCUGAUGCAGCAACGCCGCGUGAAGGAAGAAGGGUUUCGGCUCGUAAACUUCUAUCAACAGGGACGAAAGAAAUGACGGUACCUGAAUAAGAAGCCCCGGCUAACUACGUGCCAGCAGCCGCGGUAAUACGUAGGGGGCAAGCGUUUUCCGGAUUUAUUGGGUUUAAAGGGUGCGUAGGCGGAGCGUUAAGUCAGUGGUCAAAUUGAGGGGCUCAACCCCUUCCCGCCAUUGAAACUGGCGCUCUUGAGUGGAAGAGAAGUAUGCGGAAUGCGUGGUGUAGCGGUGAAAUGCAUAGAUAUCACGCAGAACCCCGAUUGCGAAGGCAGCAUGCCGGCUUCCUACUGACGCUGAAGCACGAAAGCGUGGGGAUCGAACAGGAUUAGAUACCCGGGUAGUC
rnacentral:rRNA from 1 species